CAACUUAGAAGUCCCACAGCAAUUUCAAACUCAGUAUGUCCCAAACUGAACCACCUCUUUCUCCUGGUCCAACUCCUAUGGCACCUCCAUGAAUUCCAUCCACUCGCCCACGCCAGCAAGGAGGCUGGCUGCUCAGGGCAGGCACCCGCCAGAGGACACCCUUCCCAGUAGGGGAGGUCAGAGGCACAGGGCUGUCCCUGCUUCUUGAAGUGGAGCCCACAAGACCGACCUGGGGCCCUGACUAAUGCAGAGGAGCCCUCGCCUGAAGGGCUGGACUUGGGAGUCACUGGGAGAGAAGACCAAAGCUCUCCUCAUGUCCAAGUAACUGCACAGAGCAGGGAGCAGCCAAAAGGGGCCCUGCUGAACCCCUUGGGAAGAGGAUAGCGAGGUUGGUGUGAGUUGGAGGCGUAGAUGUGUCAUGUCUUCCUCUCCACUUUCAGGAGUGAAGGGUGUUGAUCUUCCUAAUGAAGAUCAGGGCCGGCACGGAUCUAGGAGGCAGUCCAGUCAAGUCCGCCAUUCUAUGAGUGAGAUGAAGUGACUCACUAAACCUCGCCUCGUCCCGAGCUUUGCCACGAUAGCAUCCUGCUUCAGAUUAUUUUGAACUUUGGAUACACAGCAAGUGGUGACAAAGGAUAACGAUCCAGGAAUCACGGCGUGGGUGAAGUUGAGUCACCUAGAAAAUGUGCCAAAGCCUAGCUGUUGCUUUGGACUAUUAUUCGCAGCAAGACCUCUCCCCUUUCGUCUCAGAGCUGAAUUGGGUGAACUCGUGGCUUCCAACCCUUUCUACAUUUGCUCCCUUUGAGAAGGAAGGAAUAAGACCCAGAAGACAAUACUAUCCUUUAUUAUCUACACUAUUUCAAGCACUGAGCUUUACAUAUUUUAUAUCACUUGUUGCAUCCCACCAAUCUUGAAAGGAUGGUGCUACCCCAUUUUCCAGAGGAGAUCUCUGAGGUUCAGAAAGUUAGAGUUCCAGGUUCCCUGAUUAUUAAGUGAGGGAGG
ensembl:lncRNA